UCGAGAAUCUUCGGCAAUGGGGGAAACCCUGACCGAGCGACGCCGCGUGCGGGAUGAAGGCCUUCGGGUUGUAAACCGCUGUCAGUGUGGAGGAAAUGUAGUGGGGUUCUCCCCAUUAUUUGACCUAUACGCAGAGGAAGGACGGGCUAAGUUCGUGCCAGCAGCCGCGGUAAGACGAACCGUCCAAACGUUAUUCGGAAUUACUGGGCUUAAAGGGUGCGUAGGCGGUCCGAUAAGUUGGGUGUGAAAGCCCUCGGCGCAACCGAGGAAUAGCGCCGAAAACUGUUGGACUUGAGUAAGGCAGAGGUGAACGGAACUUAGGGUGGAGCGGUGAAAUGCGUUGAUAUCCGAAGGAACACCAGUAGCGAAAGCGGUUCACUGGGCCUUUACUGACGCUGAGGCACGAAAGCCAGGGGAGCGAACG
rnacentral:rRNA from 1 species